UAGUUAUUCCUACGGCCCCAUGUUCAAGUUUAAUCUCAAUCACAUUUGAAAGAGAUUGUUUCAUUUGGGCCCAAGGAUGAGCCCAAACCCCUGAAGGUACGGUAUUGACCCGACUCGAGUUCGAGUCUCAGGUAUAUUGAGGCUUUUUGAUCCUUGGAAGCACAAAGCCCAAACGGAAAUGCAACCUUUAAUCACUGACCCCAUUAAAGAGCAAAUAAGAUAAUCAUUAAUGAUUAAACCUUUUCAAGCAUGAUUAAGGCAUUUAUCUAUUUGGAAAAAUUUCAAAUAAGCAUUGCAUAUUUACUUUACUAACAAAUUGAAGCGACCUCUUUAAAUUUAAUACACAGUAUGAAAGAUUAAGUUCAGAUCUCAAAAACAAAAGAGAAAUGGCUUUGAGCUACUCUUAGAAUGGAGUUCAACAGCCGAGUUGCAAAGUAGACCCCUGAAAUCUAUUAAAAUUACUGAUGCAGUAGAUCACUCAUGCAAAAACCAGAUAACAUGGACUCUUAAUGCAUACUUACAUACAUGGUCCACAUUACUACAAAUCUUACAAUUAGCUAAUUGUUUUGAGAAGAAAAUUAGAGCAAAACGAGAUGCUGCAGUCCAGAUCUACAAAUUAAACAACACCUAAUAAUUACACCUCCCUUACUUUAUCCAAUCUAACAAAUAACAUAUGCAACAUUAAAUGCCACUUUCUUUUACAUGUUCAAUAGUAAAAGAUUGCAAAUAAUCAAAACAAACAGAAAACAAAGCUGACUAUGAGCACAAAUACUAUCACAUUCCUUGAUGUUUAUUUCUUCAAACCAACGAGUCAUUUCUACAUGUAUAGAAUCUAUAAUGUGUACCUGGAAUUGAAGGAAAUAGUAAAUAAAAGAAAUCAGAAGUUGAGUUUCAGCAUAUGUGGAAAACAUCAACACAGCCCCAAAUCCAGCAAUGAAACCACAAAAUUGAUUCCAAUUUCAAUGGAACAGUAGAUUCACAGUUUAAAAACCCAAAGAGGUGUAAUUCAAACAGUUGAUACCAACUUCAAACAAGCAGAUAACUCGAGAAAACAUCCAAAUCCGACCUCACUAACUAACUUUCAAGCAAUUUGAGAGUUUGAACAAAGAAUAACAAACCAAAAUUGAUACAGAGAUGACAAUUUUUGAAGUCUAGAGCUCAAUUGCAAUGGAACGGUAGCUGCCUCUUUUUGUAUUUUUCCUUUAUUCCCCAAAAUGUGAGUUGAGAAUCAAGUUAAGAUGCCUUUAUAGGCAAGUAUUUAGGGCAUAUUUAGGGAUUUUAUUUUUCUCUUUUAGUCAUUUUCUAAUUUCUGUUUUUGCUACUUAGUCCUUUAUUUUUUUUCUUGUUCCCCAAGUUCUACUACCCAAAUCUUGAAAUUCAAAACCAAACCCCACCCUAGAAGUUUCUCUUUCUGUUAUACUAAGAUUCUCUAACCUGAAUUGCCCAAAUUAACCCCCAAGCCAUCUGAUUUUACUUUGGGAAACCAUACGGGUCAAGUUAACCCAAAUAGCAAUCUCAAACCUAGGUUUGCCAACACGACCUAAUUUCCCUUCUUGGGCCUCUGUUGACGGAGCCCAAAUCCUGUCUAAAACUCACAAAAUUAAUGGAUUAACCCCAAACCAGUCCACUUCGAAAUGAAACAAAAAUAGAAACGCGCUGGAACUACUUAAAAACUAAACAUAGGAAUUGUGACUAUCAUACUUUGACAUAAUCAUGCAAACAACAUAUUGAUUAAAACAAAAAAUAAUGAUGAAAAGAAAAGAUGAAGCAUGAGGAAAUAAAAGCUGGGGGGGGACACGAGAAAAAAAAAAGGAAAAACCAGAAAGGUAGUACCAACAGUAACGAAUGAACGAGGCUUAGAAGAAUUCAGAUGUUUCUGAUUUUGAGCCGAAAUAGACCUCAAUCACGUGUUCUUGUGAAGAACAAACGAGCGAGGAGAAUUUCAACUCUCAUUCGCUUGCUAAAACUACUAAAAAGAACCCCGAGUGAUUUUGUUUCCCUUCUCUGUCUUCUUAGAUCUGAAAUCGACCCCACUUGGUGAUGAUUGUAAGGAAUAUGGUGAUGGAUUACGGGUUAGAGGUGAGUGAGGGUUGUAUGGUGUAGUUUUGGUGGAUCACCGGCUGGAGAUGGAGGUUCAGGGGUUAGAGACGAGGGGAGGGUUUGUUUGGUCUAUGAAACUUUAAUACACUUUUAAGAUAAACGAAGGGAUAUUUAGGACUAUUGGAUGAAGUGAAAUAGAGGGACAAUGUUAAUUUGCUUUGAAGAAACUCAAAAUGACGUAAUAUUGGUUUUACACUACGUCGUUUGGAUAGCAUGAGAGACUAACGUAUUUACAUCGGGUUGGGGUUGAUAUAGGCCAUAUCUGAACGGAAAAAGUUGAGCUUGGGAUUAAUCACCAAAGACUAAC
rnacentral:lncRNA from 1 species